rnacentral:rRNA from 1 species
GACGAACGCUGGCGGCGUGCUUAACACAUGCAAGUCGAACGGAAAGGCCCUGCUUGCAGGGUACUCGAGUGGCGAACGGGUGAGUAACACGUGGGUGAUCUGCCCUGCACUUCGGGAUAAGCCUGGGAAACUGGGUCUAAUACCGGAUAGGAGCCAUUUUUAGUGUGAUGGUUGGAAAGUUUUUUCGGUGUAGGAUGAGCUCGCGGCCUAUCAGCUUGUUGGUGGGGUAAUGGCCUACCAAGGCGGCGACGGGUAGCCGGCCUGAGAGGGUGGACGGCCACAUUGGGACUGAGAGACGGCCCAGACUCCUACGGGAGGCAGCAGUGGGGAAUAUUGCACAAUGGGCGCAAGCCUGAUGCAGCGACGCCGCGUGGGGGAUGACGGCCUUCGGGUUGUAAACUCCUUUCGCUAGGGACGAAGCUUUUUGUGACGGCACCUAGAUAAGAAGCACCGGCUAACUACGUG